rnacentral:rRNA from 1 species
GACGAACGCUGGCGGCAGGCAUAACACAUGCAAGUCGAACGAGUGGCGGACGGGUGAGUAAUGUCUGGGAAACUGACCGAUGGAGGGGGAUAACUACUGGAAACGGUAGCUAAUACCGCAUACCCUCAGAUUGGCCCAGAUGGGAUUAGCGAGUAGGGGGGGUAACGGCGCACCUAGGCGACGAUCCCUAGCUGGUCUGAGAGGAGGACCAGCCACACUGGAACUGAGACACGGUCCAGACUCCUACGGGAGGCAGCAGUGGGGAAUAUUGCACAAUGGGCGCAAGCCUGAUGCAGCCAUGCCGCGUGUAUGCAGAAGGCCUUCGGGUUGUAAAGUACUUUCAGCGAGGAGGCGUUACUCGCAGAAGAAGCACCGGCUAACUACGUGCCAGCAGCCGCGGUAAUAC